CCCAACUGGGAGAGGCCAUUCAAAACUAGCAGACUAGAGGGUGAUAGAGGCGAGUAGAAUUCCCGGUGUAGUGGUGAAAUGCGUAGAUAUCGGGAGGAAUACCAGAGGCGAAGGCGGCUCGCUGGGUCACACCUGACGCUCAGACGCGAAAGCCAGGGGAGAGAACGGGAUUAGAAACCCCGGUAUUCCUGGCAGUAAACGAUGUCAACUAGAUGUAUGGGCCUCAGGGCCUAUGUGUUGCAGCAAACGCAGUAAGUUGACCGCCUGGGGAGUACGGCCGCAAGGCUAAAACUCAAAGGAAUUGACGGGGGCCCGCACAAGCAGCGGAGCGUGUGGUUUAAUUCGAGGCUACGCGAAGAACCUUACCAGGGUUUGACAUACUGGUAGUAGGGGCGUGAAAGCGCUCUGACCCUUCGGGGAGCCA
rnacentral:rRNA from 1 species